GAUGAACGCUGGCGGCGUGCCUAAUACAUGCAAGUCGAGCGAACGGACGAGAAGCUUGCUUCUCUGAUGUUAGCGGCGGACGGGUGAGUAACACGUGGAUAACCUACCUAUAAGACUGGGAUAACUUCGGGAAACCGGAGCUAAUACCGGAUAAUAUUUUGAACCGCAUGGUUCAAAAGUGAAAGACGGUCUUGCUGUCACUUAUAGAUGGAUCCGCGCUGCAUUAGCUAGUUGGUAAGGUAACUGAUUACCAAGGCAACGAUGCAUAGCCGACCUGAGGGGGUGAUCGGCCACACUGGAACUGAGACACGGUCCAGACUCCUACGGGAGGCAGCAGUAGGGAAUCUUCCGCAAUGGGCGAAAGCCUGACGGAGCAACGCCGCGUGAGUGAUGAAGGUCUUCGGAUCGUAAAACUCUGUUAUUAGGGAAGAACAUAUGUGUAAGUAACUGUGCACAUCUUGACGGUACCUAAUCAGAAAGCCACGGCUAACUACGUG
rnacentral:rRNA from 1 species